rnacentral:lncRNA from 1 species
AUGAGGAGUCAAUGUCAUGCAGCUAUGGAGGCUGAGAAGUCCAAGGUCAAGGAACGACAUCUAGUGAGGCCCUCCUUGCUGGUGGGGACUCCGCAGAGUCCCAAGGCAAUGCAGGCCAUCACAUGGUGAGGAGGCUGAGCAAGCUAGUUCAUAUUUCUCUUUCUCUUCUUAUAAAGCCACCUGUCCCAUUAUCAUGAUAACUCCUUAAUCCAUUAACCUAUUACUUCAUUAAUUCAUGAACAGAUUAAUCCUUCAUGACCAAAUCACCUCUUAAAGGUCCCACCUUUCAAUACUGGCACUUUGGGAAUUAAGUUUCAACAUGAGUUUUGGAGGGGACAAACAUUCAAACCAUAGCUAUUGAUGAUAACAUUUUUUAUUUUGUCUUCUUUCCUUUUCUUUAUGUAAAUUUUCCAGUUUACCUAUAUAAUUAGUCUUUUCAAUGAAGCAGCUAUUGGGGUUAUUGAUUAAUCCUAAAUUUUAUUAUUUUAUUAAUACUUACUAUGUAUUACUUUUCAGCAGCCAUUUGAUUUCAUUGUUAUUUUAUAUAGUAUUUUAAAGUGAGUUCAUAUUUAAUUUAUAUUCAAUAUUUCCUGUUUGAUAGUCAAUGCAUUUAAGAACAUAUGGAUUCUUCUCAAUAUUACUUUGCUAUAAUAGAUACAUCCCACACAUUUUGACAUGUAGUAUUAUUAUUGUCAUUUAUUUCUAAAUGGAUUUUGACCACAAUUAUUAUUUAAAAUGUUUCAAUAUUUUCAGAUGGAUUGUCAUUUGUUGGAGAGGAUGGAUGGAUAACCUUACUUGUUAAUUUCUAACUGUACAGCUUUAAGAUCAGAAUCUCUGAUCUAUAUAUAAUUUUUGCUUCAUAGUAGGCUGAUAAUAGGUCAAUGUUCAUAGAUAUGCAAAAUGUUUGAAAAAUAUAUAUAUAGUUAGUCAAAUUAUUCACAUCUGUAUUUGCUUUUGGUCUACUUAAGAUGAAAGUUAUUGAAAAAGAUAUGUUAAAAUAUUUAACUGUUUUUGCUUUAUUAUAGUUUUUUAUUUUGUUAUUUUGCAUCUGUUUUAAUUAGGUAUAUAGAAGGUUAAUGACAGCUUUAUUAUCUUAAUUAUAUAUUUUAUCAAUUUAAAUAAUUCUUUGACAUUUUAAAAUAAUUUUCUCCUUGAGUUCUGCUU